CUCCUCUGCUUGUGUGUUCAGCUGUUCAUUUAUUUGGGUUCCUUUUGCUUUUCUUUUUAAAGAGAAGAAAGGGCGUAAAAGAGGCCCAACUGCACCUCCACCACUACUGCUUCAGGAUCCAGAGACAGCCCGCAAAAGGAUCGAAGAGCGAGUAGCCACGGUGCUUGUAGAAGACGUGGAAUUCCCUCCUACCCCUCAGCUUCCCACCAGUAGUAUUUUGGAGGAUGGAUCUGGGAAAGCAGCCUGGCUCAUGCCAUUGCCCAAAAACAAGGACUCAUCUUUAUGGAAUAGCAGUGCUCUAACAGGACCCCGUGACCCUGAAUUGUUCUACACUGCUGGAUUAAACCCUCCAGUUGUACCUGUGCAGAGUUCUAAGUCAGAGAUUGUUCUGCCAUCAGUGGGAUCUGAUCAGCCAGAAGUGUCCCAGGAAGUUGAUUCUGACCUCAGUUCGCGUGAUCCUGCCUCUGURGAGGUUGGAGGCCAAACUUCUGAUGAAUCCAAGUCAGGCCCUGAAGAAGAUGGACAGGUUUCAUUUGAGAGCCAGGAUGUUCAGACCCYGCAGGACCUGGUUGAGUUGGCCAGGGAAGGACUUACUCUUACUCAGGGGAACCUUGAUGUUAACCACGUUCAGGAAGCAGAGCAGUCAAGUAAGUUCUGGCAGCCUCAUGAGCCCCUUCCCUAGUGCCUUCAGCUAUGCAGAACCACACUUAAGCCACACUGGAUUUGGAGAGCAGUGACAGCAGCCACGAGGUGGUGGUGGUGAUGUUCUGGGGGGGGAUUGUUCUGCAAUAGGCUUUAGAUACAAUCAAGUUGACAUUUCUGAAAUGAUUCAUAAAUCUCAGUGUUGAAGAGAACUCCUUUUAGAGAGCAGGUCCUAAAUUUUAUUUUAAAAUUCCUUUAAAGGUGUCACAUGCAUUUCUGCCAGGAGGGAACCCACACAUGGCCAAUGGUGAGGCCAAAAGUUAUCCCAGCUAUUGGACUUUCCUUUGUAUUAUGUGCACAGCAGUGUGCAGCAAUGCUGCUCUUUUCUGCAUAUUGACUGUUGCUAACAGCACUGCCUCGUCAGGUCUUGAGAAGACCAGGUGAAAGAAGAGUGCAAGAGGGAUGACGUUAUGUUGGUACAUGGAUACACAAUCCCUGAAGUUGAUCUGUACAGGCUGAAAAAAUACACCACCUAGAAUUCCUCCAAGAGCAACUCUCUAACUUCCCCAGUCAUAGUUGCAUGCGGUGCACAACUGCACAUUCCAAGGUCAAGGAGAGCCUUAAAAUGGCCUAGCCGUUUAGCGUAAUAUAUGUAUUGUACAUCUCCUGUUCACCUGUUAACAAAGAACGUGGUUGCUAAAUUCUCCUGUCGGUCUGCAUUUUUACUUGGAUAAAGUUCCCUUACUUCCCCUACUAAACUGCAGCAAAUGGCUGCUGGUCCUAUGCCGAGGGGCCAAACACCUCUGAUAAAGGCAAGAGGGAGGGGCUGAGCCUUUCAGCUCAGAAAUAUCAGCGUGGUACAGCAGUCAUCUUGGGGAGCUGUCAUGGCAAGGCUCCUAUUAGGAGUUCCUACUUCGCUCURUCUUACAAGGACGUUGUACGUGAUUUGUGAUGUGCCUUUUCUUCUUUGAGGAGAAGAAACGACUUCCGGUGAUACUCCACUUAGUGGCUUUGUCCCUCCAUCCAAAGAGAAGAGAAUUCUGAGAAGCAGCUCUGAGAGAGUAAGGACAAACGUUAUUUUUUUCCACCUUUUUGUAUUUGUUUGCGUUUGUACUGUAAAAAAGAGGCUCAUCCAUUUGAGGGAUUCACAGAAGUAUGGAAUAUUUCCCAUUGCUUUCCUCAGAAGCAAAGAGGUGUUUAAGGUUCACAGUCAYKCACAGGAAUCAUUACAGGCACAGCUGAGGUCAAAAUGCUUGAUGUUUCAUUGAUGCCCACAGGCAGGCCUGUGGUUGUUUCAGAGUGUUUGUCCUCCUUGAGUUAAAAUACCAGGUAACAUAAAGCCAAUCUGUGCAUAAUUCAUGCAAAGAGAACCAGGUUAAAUAGUGAGGCUGUAGUCCUUAGAGUAUUUGGGGUAGUUACUAGGGAUGUAUCUGCACAGCWUUUAGGCAGUACUCUGCUUUGAUGUCCGGACUAGAUCAGAGCGAUCUAUCUGCCUAUCUGCCAAGAAUAAGAGCAAGAAACACCUGAUUAGUUUCCAGACUGAACUUCCUGUCUUCCCCCUGGAGAGCAGUCCACACCGCUGUCAUGACAUGCAGAGUCUUCUCUAGCCCACCUAUGAAGGCCUGGAAGAAAUGGUCCAGUGUGUGCUGCUGUUUCAGUGCUAAUUGGUAUUGGCUGCCUGCAAACACAUACUGGAAYGAGUAGAGAGGUUGAGUUUCCGCAAUCCACUGAACUAAUGUAGAAACCUGCUAAUAAAAUGAAGAGCUGCGUUGUUCCA
rnacentral:lncRNA from 1 species